CCUACGGGAGGCAGCAGUGGGGGAUAUUGCACAAUGGGGGAAACCCUGAUGCAGCGACGCCGCGUGUGGGAAGACGGUCCUCUGGAUUGUAAACUACUGUCCCCAGGGACGAAGAUGACGGUACCUGGGGAGGAAGCUCCGGCUAACUACGGGCCAGCAGCCGCGGGAAACCGUGGGGAGCGAGCGUUGUCCGGAAUUACGGGGUGUAAAGGGAGCGUAGGUGGGACGGUAAGUUGGGGGUAAAAGCUACCGGCGCAACCGGGAGCCGCCCUCGAAACUGCAGUUCUUGAGUGGGGGAGAGGCAAGCGGAAUUCCUAGUGUAGCGGUGAAAGGCGUAGAUAUGGGGAGGAACACCAGUGGCGAAGGCGACCUGCUGG
rnacentral:rRNA from 1 species